GUAAAUCAGUGGGAGCUCCAUUAACGGGGACCUCUAGGAAAAGACCAACACUGGGCAUCUGCCACAUCGUGGGAGACUAACAAUGAACACCGAGCUCAUUCCAGGAUGAUGGCAUACAGGGAUUGGCCCUAAGAGAUGAAUGACCAAUUUAAGACAAAUUUGAGAGGAUGUGCCACACUGUGGAAUGCCAGGAGGACCAUAUGCAGGAUGUUUUACUGACUACAAACUGCCCAAUCUUGUUCAGAAAUGAAAAUGUGUGAAUCAAUACUUGGUAUGGUCAUUUCAAUCAUGCGAUGAUAUAUUCAAAAACCAUUCAACACCUAUUUCUGUCUCAAUAAAAUUCAGUUAUUUUCCUGGU